CAAUAGCGUAUAUUAAAGUUGUUGCGGUUAAAAAGCUCGUAGUUGGAGUUCUGCCAGGUGCCGUCUGUCCGCCCCAGUGGUGAGUACGUGACGCGCAUUUGGCCCUUUCAAGGGGAGCGUAUCUGCACUUUACUGUGUGGUGCGGGAUCCUUGACUUUUACUUUGAGGAAAUAGGAGUGUUCCAAGCAGGCUCUCGUCGUGCACAGCUCAGCAUGGAAUAAUAGCAUUGGACCUCGAUUCUAAGCUGUUGGUUGCCAGAAGCGAGGUAAUGAUGAAGAGGGAUAGUUGGGGGCAUUCGUAUUUAACUGUCAGAGGUGGAAUUCUUGGAUUUGUUAAAGACGGACUACUGCGAAAGCAUCUGCCAUGGAUGUUUUCAUUGA
rnacentral:rRNA from 1 species